rnacentral:lncRNA from 10 species
AGAGGAAGGGCGGUGUCCAGGCAAUAGGCAUAGGAAAUGAGUAGGCAGCAGGCUGAAGAGGGUGAAAAAAAACAGGGCAAGAGCAACCCCUCCACUGAAAUGCACUGGGAAGGGGGACUUAGAUACUAACACAAGUUCAAUUCAAGAAGCAUUUAUUGAACCGUCCUCAUGAGCCAGGUCAGGGUGUUCAGCACUGAGCGUGUCAAGACGAAGACACAUAGCCUCUAAGUGUCCACCAUCUACAAUAGCUAAUGUUUAAUUGUCCUUAAAAGUUGAAGAAUGUUGACUGGAUUGUCUGCAAAUCAGUCAUGUGAGUAGUGUUAAUCUAAUGAAGAAGAAUCUUAAAAGACAAAUUCUCCAAAUGCUGCUGCUCCUGCAUCCUGCUGCUCUACCUGCUGUGGGGAGGAGGUGAGUGGAUGAUACCCAGCUUCCUUUCGUGGCAACAACACUUAAAAAGUAAGGUGAGACUUUGCUUUUCUAGAGAGUACUGAGAUGGUCAAGAUAUGCACUGUUGAUGGGCUAAUUUUCAGUGUUCAUAGCACAGCACAUAAUGCCAAAGUGGAACACAGUGAGAAAGAGAUUCAUGCCAAUCCCUUUUGGGAACAAAUGUCUGAAAAAUCACAAGGGUCACUGGCUCUGGUCUCGCUUGGUUCUGUCACUGUGGGGAAUGGGGGAUGGAGGAGUGAGGAAAUACG